UACGUAGGGGGCUAGCGUUGUCCGGAAUCAUUGGGCGUAAAGCGCGUGUAGGCGGUCCGGUAAGUCCGCUGUGAAAGUCGGGGGGCUCAACCCUCGGAUGCCGGUGGAGUACUGUCGGGCUUGAGUACGGAAGAGGCGAGUGGAAUUCCUGGUGUAGCGGUGAAAUGCGCAGAGUAUCAGGAGGAACACCAAUUGCGAAGGC
rnacentral:rRNA from 1 species